rnacentral:rRNA from 1 species
GACGAACGCUGGCGGCGUGCUUAACACAUGCAAGUCGAACGGAAAGGCCUCUUUCGGGGGGUACUCGAGUGGCGAACGGGUGAGUAACACGUGAGUAACUUGCCCUUGACUUUGGGAUAACUUCAGGAAACUGGGGCUAAUACCGGAUAGGAGCUCCUGCUGCAUGGUGGGGGUUGGAAAGUUUCGGCGGUUGGGGAUGGACUGGCGGCUUAUCAGCUUGUUGGUGGGGUAGUGGCUUACCAAGGCUUUGACGGGUAGCCGGCCUGAGAGGGUGACCGGCCACAUUGGGACUGAGAUACGGCCCAGACUCCUACGGGAGGCAGAAGUGGGGAAUAUUGCACAAUGGGUGGAAGCCUGAUGCAGCAACGCCGUGUGCGGGAUGACGGCCUUCGGGUUGUAAACCGCUUUCGCUCAUGACGAAGCUUUGUGUGACGGUAGUGGGUAAAGAAGCACCGGCUAACUACGUG